GAUGAAGAACGUAGCGAAAUGCGAUAAGUAAUGUGAAUUGCAGAAUUCAGUGAAUCAUCGAAUCUUUGAACGCACCUUGCGCCCUUUGGCCAUUCCGAAGGGCAUGCCUGUUUGAGUAUCAUGAACACCUCAACUCUCAUGGCUUGCCAUGAUGAGCUUGGACUUUGGGGGUCUUGCUGGCCUGCAGUCAGCUCCUCUCAAAUGAAUUAGCUUUCCAGUGUUUGGUUGGCAUCACAGGUGUGAUAACUAUCUACACUUGUGGUUUCCACCAGGUAACCUUCAGUAACAUGGGGGUUUGCUGGAGCUCAUAAAUGUCUCUCCUCAGUGGGGACAGCUCUUUGAACAUUUGAUCUCAAAUCAGGUAGGACUACCCGCUGAACUUAAGCAUAUCAAUAAGCGGAGGA
rnacentral:misc_RNA from 1 species